rnacentral:rRNA from 1 species
GACGAACGCUGGCGGCGUGCCUAAUACAUGCAAGUGGGACGCAAGGGAACACACUGUGCUUGCACACCGUGUUUUCUUGAGUCGCGAACGGGUGAGUAACGCGUAGGUAACCUGCCUAUUAGCGGGGGAUAACUAUUGGAAACGAUAGCUAAUACCGCAUAAUAUUAAUUAUUGCAUGAUAAUUGAUUGAAAGAUGCAAGCGCAUCACUAGUAGAUGGACCUGCGUUGUAUUAGCUAGUUGGUAAGGUAAGAGCUUACCAAGGCGACGAUACAUAGCCGACCUGAGAGGGUGAUCGGCCACACUGGGACUGAGACAUGGCCCAGACUCCUACGGGAGGCAGCAGUAGGGAAUCUUCGGCAAUGGACGAAAGUCUGACCGAGCAACGCCGCGUGAGUGAAGAAGGUUUUCGGAUCGUAAAGCUCUGUUGUAAGUCAAGAACGUGUGUGAGAGUGGAAAGUUCACACAG